UAGUUUAACAUCUGGAGUCUCUGAGGCUACAACUACAUGGUCAAGUACCAUAGGAUUUGCUGCAGCUCAACAAGCUAUCUGAGCUAUCUGGGUCAGCAGGACAAGAUGAGAAAAUAGGGUGACUGAGGAUGGGAAGCCUUCUUGAAGCAAUUCCGUUAAAUGUGCCACCUAUAACCACUUCAAACUGAACUGCAAUUAGAAGUCUUUUUCCUUCCCCUGCUUGUGUGGUCACUUAUAUCAAAGAAAACCAAAUGCCCCAGGGUGUCUUUGCAGUGAGAGAAGAGUGCCAAUUUUGCUGCCUUCACACAAAUUUCCCUCAGGAGGAGGACAACGUUCUGAAGAGGAGAGCUUCUCCUGUCCCUGGGCAUUAGUCCAUGUCAUUCAAACCUCUGGAAAACUCUGGCAUUCUAAAUCCCAUGAAGAGCCUCCAUGCUCAGAAGAAUGCAGGCACUUCAGGAAGUCACCUGCCACACCUACAGGGAGAUGGAAAUGUAUAAUGAAAUAGGGCUAGUGCACAUUCUACAUCUCUGAUGUUUAGUCUUCCUUGUUUACACCCAAACAGAGCUUAUGCCCAAUAAGGAAAAAGAACUACCAGGCACACAAGAAGGACAAGUGACAUUUACUAAAGGUUUCUAUGUCAGGGGUCUGUGGCUAAACAAAAGAAGGGCAGUACAGAUCUUGGCAACUGUACACCCCUUCCCUGUCUUCAUAGUUGCUGCGCGUUGCCUUUUUAUGCAUUAUUGUUCAUGGGAAAGGGGUAUAUCUUUUCUCCCUGCUCCUUUUACGUGCAUGGAGACGACUUCCAGUAUGAAAAGCCCAUUGUAAAUUUCCUGCUUUACUAUAUGUUUGUACGUGCUGAACUCCACAUUUCCACAACUAACUACUCUCUUGUGCUUAACUUCGACAGUAAGCGGACAGUGCCCUCUUAAGGUUCUCUGUGGGAAAACACCUAUGUUGAUUUCCAUGGCGUGUCCGGACAGUUUUAUGAAAUUCUGAAUUGUGCUUGGAAGACCAGAGCUGGACAAUUAGAAAUAAAAUGGGAUAGUAUACAGUAUUUGAUGGGGUGAGAAUUCACUUGCUUCGCAGCAAACUGGGUGCUGCAUCAGCAGACCUACGUGUCAGAACUGAGUUGCCACCAGUUUUGUAUAAAUGAGGGGAUGGGGUAAUUCUAAACACCAUGUGGGGACAGGAGCUGUUCCUGCACCUUCAGUGCAUCCCUCCCCCCAAAGCCAAUUCCACUGGCCAUUUCCUCAAUCGCUUUCUCAUCAAGACAAGAACUGCAGGGGAGAAGAUCUCUUAGGGGAUGAGGUAAACAUGGGCUUGGGAAAGGGUUCGGUUCCCGCACACGCCCCUUCAGAUUGCCAUUUAA